rnacentral:lncRNA from 1 species
CAAGUUACUAAAUCUAUCUGAGACUCAAUUUCUUCUUCUGUAAGGUACAUAUCCACCUUAAAACGUUGCUGUGAGGAUCAGAUGAGCUAACAAGGAACGAGAAAGCACUUCGCUGUGCCCACUGAAAGUGGGCAGAGUGAAUAUAUGCAUGUGUUAGAGUGGGUGAAGAGCAGCCUUCAAGAGAGAGAGUUCCAGCUGCCCUCACUGUGCCCUCCCCCAGCUCUGUGCUGCACCAGGAUCUCCCAGAAGGCAGCCACACCGCUCUCACUGCCUUCUCGCAGCUGUUACCUCCAGCCCUGCAGAACAGGGGGCUGUAAAUUCAUCUGCAGCCGACUAGAGGACACCUCAUAUGCUCUGGUGUUGAGACCAGGAGGGAUCUCUGACUGA